rnacentral:rRNA from 1 species
UGGGGAAUAUUGGACAAUGGGCGCAAGCCUGAUCCAGCAAUACCGCGUGUGUGAAGAAGGCCUUCGGGUUGUAAAGCACUUCAAUUGGGAGGAAAACCUGCCGGUCAAUACCCGGUAGCUUGACAUUACCUUUAGAAGAAGCACCGGCUAACUCCGUG